GCGGGAUGAACCGAACAUACAGAUAAAUUAUUUAAGGCUUGCAUGAGGAGAACCAUUGAAAAUAUUUAUUCAUAUUGACAGGAAAUUUGCCAUUGAAAUUGGAAAUCGCUAAGGAGUGUGUAACAACUCACCUAUCGAAUGGAUGAGCCCUGAAAAUGGAAGGUAUUAUAAUGAGAGAGAGUGAUACUGUAUCCUUGUGGAGAGUGAUAAAGGUAGAGAAGUAAUUUAUAUUGAAACAGACUUGAGUACAGUCUGUUUCAAUAUAAAUUACUUCAAUCUUGGU
rnacentral:ncRNA from 1 species